rnacentral:rRNA from 1 species
UGCAUGUCUAAGUACACGCCAAAUUAAGGUGAAACCGCGAAUGGCUCAUUAAAUCAGUUAUGGUUCCUUAGAUCGUACCAAAAUUUACUUGGAUAACUGUGGUAAUUCUAGAGCUAAUACAUGCAAAACAGAGUUCCGACCAGAGAUGGAAGGAAUGCUUUUAUUAGAUCAAAACCAAUCGGUCACGGGUUAACGCUCGUACCGUUAUGUUUGGUGACUCUGAAUAACUUUGUGCUGAUCGCAUGGUCUCGUACCGGCGACGAAUCUUUCAAAUGUCUGCCUUAUCAACUGUCGAUGGUAGGUUCUGCGCCUACCAUGGUUGUAACGGGUAACGGGGAAUCAGGGUUCGAUUCCGGAGAGGGAGCCUGAGAAACGGCUACCACAUCCAAGGAAGGCAGCAGGCGCGCAAAUUACCCACUCCCGGCACGGGGAGGUAGUGACGAAAAAUAACGAUACGGGACUCAUUCGAGGCCCCGUAAUCGGAAUGAGUACACUUUAAAUCCUUUAACGAGGAUCCAUUGGAGGGCAAGUCUGGUGCCAGCAGCCGCGGUAAUUCCAGCUCCAAUAGCGUAUAUUAAAGUUGUUGCGGUUAAAAAGCUCGUAGUUGAAUUUGUGUGCUACGCCGUUGGUUCACCGCUCGCGGUGUUUAACUGAUGUGCCGUAGUGCGUCCUGCCGGUGGACUUAGCCGUAGCCUCGGAAACGGGGUCUUCGGCGGUCCUAUUUUAAUCCCAUCGCGGUGCUCUUCACCGAGUGUCGAGGUGGGCCGGCACGUUUACUUUGAACAAAUUAGAGUGCUUAAAGCAGGCUAACUUUGCCUGAAUAUUGUGUGCAUGGAAUAAUGGAAUAGGACCUUGGUUCUAUUUUGUUGGUUUUCGGAACACGAGGUAAUGAUUAAUAGGGACAGAUGGGGGCAUUCGUAUUGCGACGUUAGAGGUGAAAUUCUUGGAUCGUCGCAAGACGAACAGAAGCGAAAGCAUUUGCCAAAAAUGUUUUCAUUAAUCAAGAACGAAAGUUAGAGGUUCGAAGGCGAUCAGAUACCGCCCUAGUUCUAACCAUAAACGAUGCCAGCUAGCGAUCCGCCGAAGUUCCUCCGAUGACUCGGCGGGCAGCUUCCGGGAAACCAAAGCUUUUGGGUUCCGGGGGAAGUAUGGUUGCAAAGCUGAAACUUAAAGGAAUUGACGGAAGGGCACCACCAGGAGUGGAGCCUGCGGCUUAAUUUGACUCAACACGGGAAACCUCACCAGGCCCAGACACCGGAAGGAUUGACAGAUUGAUAGCUCUUUCUUGAUUCGGUGGGUGGUGGUGCAUGGCCG